rnacentral:rRNA from 1 species
AGUUUGAUCCCUGGCUCAGGACGAACGCUGGCGGCGUGCCUAAUACAUGCAAGUCGAGCGGACGGAAGGGAGCUUGCUCCCGGAAGUCAGCGGCGGACGGGUGAGUAACACGUGGGCAACCUGCCCUGUAGACUGGGAUAACAUCGAGAAAUCGGUGCUAAUACCGGAUAAUCGAAGAAACCGCAUGGUUUCUUUGUAAAAGAUGGCUCCGGCUAUCACUACAGGAUGGGCCCGCGGCGCAUUAGCUAGUUGGUGAGGUAGAGGCUCACCAAGGCAACGAUGCGUAGCCGACCUGAGAGGGUGAUCGGCCACACUGGGACUGAGACACGGCCCAGACUCCUACGGGAGGCAGCAGUAGGGAAUCUUCCGCAAUGGACGAAAGUCUGACGGAGCAACGCCGCGUGAGUGAUGAAGGUUUUCGGAUCGUAAAGCUCUGUUGUUAGGGAAGAACAAGUGCUAUUCAAAUAGGGUGGCACCUUGACGGUACCUAACCAGAAAGCCACGGCUAACUACGUGCCAGCAGCCGCGGUAAUACGUA